AGAAGCACAGAUUUCACCUAACUUUGAAGUGCUAUAAAAGUAAAACCAUUUGAGAUAGAGGGGGGAAAUUUAAGUGGGUUUCUUUCAACCACAAGGGAAGGGUGUACACCAAGUUUCAUAAAUCUGAGACGGUAGGUGGCGAAACCCUUGUUUUUUGCAUUGAUUUGAUGUGGAAUGACCCAAAUGGAAAGUUAGUAUGUGUUCCAGGAAUUGGAACAGUGAUACAACUGCACUUGGAAGACUGUGUAGUAUAUAUUGUAAAGGAUAUUGUAGAGUUGGAAAAAAUUCAGAAAAGGGGAGCCAAAAUGAUCAAGGGGGUAGAGCAUCUCCCCUGUGAGGAAAGGUUACAGCAUUUGGGGCUUUUUAUUUUAGCGAUAAGGUGAGUAGAAAUGACAUUAUAAAGCUGUAUAGAAUUGUGUAUGACAAGGAGAACUUGGAUAGAGGGAAAAUUUUCUCCCUCUCUCAUAACUCUAGUAUUUGUGGACAUCCAAUGAAAAAAAAUGUUGGAAGAUUCAGGUUGGACAAAAGAAAGUAUUUCUUAAUUAAAGGGUUGAAUUUGUUCCCACAAGAUGCAGUCAUCGCCAGUAAUCUGGAUGGCUUUAAAAGAGGAUAAGGCUGUGUUCUACCUCCAAUGUCGAGGAAAUAUGCUUCUAAGUACCAGAUGCUGGAAAUUGCAGGAGGGGAGAGUGCUGUUUUACUCAGAUCCUAUUUGCAGGCUUCCCAUAGGCCUUGGGGUGGCCACUGGUCUGAUCCAGCAACGUUUUUCUUAUUCUCUUAUGUUCUUGAUUGGCUUUGGUACCGAAAGGGCACACUCAGGGCAAGCCCUUGUGGUGUCUGGUCCCUAAGGUAGAAAAGAUGGGUACCCUUGGACAGUAAGGGAUUGGGCAAAGUAUUUACUUGCUCAUCCUACUGCUUUUGCCUCUGCAAAUACAGACUCCCAGCUUUGGCUAACAACUGCCCUGGACAAAGCUGGGUGAUUAGGUUUAGGGGCUGGAUGCAGCUGCUUUAGACCAGUGGGAUGCCCCACCCCCUUGGCAUGCAUUGUGAAAGGCACACUCGUCUCUCUCUACUUGGGAACAUCUCGUCUUGGAGGCUACAGGAUAAGCAAACUCUGUGAUCUAUUUACCUCACAGGUGCUCUUAAUCAGUCCCGGUGUAGAGAAGAGUCGAAUAAGACCUGCCGUACUGCCUGCUUGUUACCGCUUUGAUUCGUAAUCAGUGAUGAGCGUGUGGUAACGGAGACCAAAGGACUGGCUGCUGCUUCCGCCUUGGUCUGAAGAGGGGACUUCAGUGGAAGCAAUCAAGUGUGUUCCUCUUGUGGAUGCUCUUUUGGGUCUAGGAAAUAAGAAGAGCCCCUUGCAUGGAUGGGACUGGAGAGCUUCCCUAUCUGUCUCCUUUCUCCUAAUCUGUUGUAAGUGCUUGUGUGGGGGAAGGAAGGGAGGGAGGAAAUGGUUCAGAGAAUAGGAAGGAGUAAAUUGCUUCAUAAUAGAUCAGUUUAUUUGUUCUAGAAAUGCUCUUGCAGGCAUAAUUAACUUUAACACUUGAAACGUAGUAAUUAUGCGUUAAAAUCACAAAAGGAAGCAAAAUAGGUGCUUAACUAUUUGUUUCUAUUAGUUAAAUCCCCUAUUUGUCUUUUUCCAUUGUUGUUGCAGCAUUGGGUCUCCCAAAUUAGAUUAACUUAAGCAGUGAUGUAUUUAGUUAUAUGGGGAGGGUUGGUCCUCCCCACACCCUAAUGCAGAGAUAUUCUUUAGAUGUGUGUAUGUGUCUGUUUUCUGCAGUUCCUAUUAUUGCUUGUUAAAUAUUUAGCAAAUCUUAUUUUUUCCACUUCAUGUCUUUGUGGGGCCUCCCCUCUGGUCCCCAUGAAUUUUGCAGGCCACUGAACCCAAUACUUUGAAUAAUGCUCAGCACUGUUCUAGGUGUUUUUCAUCUUCACAGCCCUGUGCAAACAAUAAAUCAACACACAAACUGCAGUGAGACAGGCAUAUAAUUACUUAGAACCUAUAUUACUUUACCUGUUGGUUUUCUUUUGGCAGAGGGUAGAUUGCGAUUAAAACAUCACCAGCAUGCACACACAGCCCUAGGCUUUUGUUCUCAAGCAGAUACAGGUUCUUUAUACUUCAGAAACGAUGGGGGAAGCCAAUUAUUAUUGCUGCUUUAGUGUGCAAAGAACUUUAUAGUUCUUAUCUAUGUGUGUAUUCUGUUCAAUAGGAAGUUGACUUGUUCCCAAUUUAUUGAUGAGGAAUGGGAGCUGAAAGAAUGAGUUGGUGUGUAGAUAUAGUGUGGCUUUUUCUUACACAUGGCUAAGGUCUUGGGCUGUGGGGUUACAUGUACCCUUUUUUCCUUGCCUCCCUCAACCUUCACAAUGGUUAAAAUUUCCAGAAAACUUGUUUUUAGUAAUACCUAGCACUGAUUGUGGUUUGCUGUUACUGGAAUUUUUAACCAGCUUCAAAACCUGCCAAUCUUUAACCAUGGUUAAGAUUGGUGAGAUCUUUCCUAUGAGAGGGAGCAUGUAAAGGGCAGACUCUACUGAGGGUCUUCACCAGUUCUGUGACUUGUGAAACGCCACCUCUGUGGGCCUGUGACUGAGCUUGACCUGUUUUUUCCUGAGCCCAACACAGGAGCCACACUAAUUUUCACUUAGUGUGGUUCUGGUCUUCUGCCCAGACCAUUUUUAGUUAAAGGCAGUAAAUGGUGCAUUCAGUCACUCUUCUUUUGCUAGCUAAACAUUGUAAAUAGGGUUGUUUGCCUUAACCAAUUGAAUCAGUUAUGGGCAAUCUCAAUACAGUCCACUGUAUUUGAAAGUAUGAAAGAAGUGUGACAAUCGUAAUGAACAAGAUUUAUGAGCCAUUUGUUAGAAGGAAAAGCCAGUAAUAAAUUACCAUUAUUAAGGCUGGCGUAUUCCGCUCUAGUCCUGGGUUAGGCAAGCAAUGUUUAAAGUUUAAAGUGUGACGUUUACUUCCCUGGUGAAUUAUAUGAGUCUUUGUGUGUCUACACACAUCCUUAAAAGUGUAAAGUGUGACUAUGGCAAACAUGUCCUAUAGUACAUUUCUCAGGGAAAUGAGGUUAGCUAUGACUUCACGUUCCAUGGCAAAUCUUGGUUUUUUCCAGCUUAAUGUGUGAAAUGACCUUGGGUAUAUGUUUUGAUUGAGCAAACAUUUAAUUGUUUCCCUGUUUGCUUCACCACUUUACACAACAGCCAGAGUCAGUGUGGAGCAGUGGGUUAACUGUUGGUUUUGAACUGGGCUCAGAUACUACUUCUUCAAUUUUUAAACUUGCUGUGUAAUCUUGGCCCUGUCUCUCAGCCUAGCCAACCUUGCAGUGUGGUUGUGAGGAUCAAUGGGGGCAAAUCCGUGGUUUUGCCGCCCUGAGCUCCCUGGGGAAAGGUCAGGAUAUAAAUGUGGGAAGAAAUCAAUGAUCCAGAAAAGCAUAGUGUUUCAGUAUCAGUGCUGCAGGCAAGUGGUUUCUCCCACUGCCACUACCACCACCACCACUUUUUCUUCUUUGGUCUCUCUCUCGGGCCUGUAAAACCAUGUUGUGAGUCAAAGUAGUCCUUAAAAUUUCUCCCAUCUCAGUUCUUUUGACCUCUGUUUCUUGCCCUUGGAGGCAAGAGUGAGAUUCCUCCAGUGAGACUGUAUUUUUUAUUUAAUCAUCUCCAACACUUUUGCAGACUUAGUGGCCUGUUAUACCAAAGUUUGGGAAACCUCUGGACAGUGUAACUCUCACACCUGGAAUUUCUGUGCAUUAUGCUUUUGACUAGAUGAAGCAGAUUUCCUGGAGCACAUGGCCUGGAAAGUAGUCCUGUAUUACUGAACGGUAUUUGAGACUUGCAGCUUAGCUGGGUUAUCCUGUACCUAUUUAUAGAUCUGUUCUUCCUGAACCCAGCUCUCAUCUCUUUGCAGAGCUUUUCUCAGCAAUGUUAAAGCAGGCUUCUUGUUCCCCUUCUGUCCUGCAGUACACUUGCAUGCUCAGCAAUGGAUUCAUACUUCCUUUUUAAGGGAAAGAAAUCCGCAGCAAUGCAUUUUGUUGCUUGCAUAGUUGCUGGUCUGGCAGGCAGUGUAUUUCUCAGUUAGCCAAAUCUGCAGCGCUUCAGUGGGUGCUUAUCUUUUAUGUACAGCAAGAUGGGUGCAUUUCUUGGUCUUUCUAGCUCAGGUAAGAGUGCUGAGGGAUUUGUGAAAGUGUUGGUUUUGAAUUAUUUUUGUAUGGUAUAGCACUAGAAAGGCUUAACCAUUGUUUGAGCCUCCACCUCUUGCUUGUUGUUGGUGGAAGUUGGGUUUCCACACACUAUAUCCUUUUUAUUAUUUUGAGAGUCAGGAGGAAAAACUCAUUUUAGUCCCUGGUAUAUUUUUGUCCAUGGUUGCCCUGCCAACCAGUAGGGUACAUAAAUUUCUUAAUGGGGUUCCAUGGUGGUGUUGGGGUAGAAUAUGUGAAGGCAAACUGGUGUAUCAGGACUUCUUAAAGUGUUGACCCUAUCAGGGGAGGUGUUGGGAGUCAGAAUCAAGUGUAGGUCAGCAAUUAAAAAUACUCUGUCAGUGCAGUUAACUUUUUUUCCUCAAACAAAACAAAACAAAACAAAACAAAACAAAACAAAACAGGAAUAGUGAUCCCAGCAAUUCUUCCCCGCAGGUCUUGCUCCAAUGAGGUGAUUGUGAGGACUGAAGUUCCCCAGCUUCCUACCACUCUCUAAGACUCAUCCUCCUCCAGAGUCUUUCCUAAGCAGUUGCAAACUUCAUCUGCACACCACCAGUCUCUGCUCUUUUCAAUUUUCUUGCUUGUUAUAGGAGACCUGGGUGGGGGGAGGAGUUGGUCGCAGCAGCAGGGUGAGACUACCUGGACUCUUCAGCAGCCCGUCUCAACCUGCCUCUUUGCCCCCUCGUCUCCAGUUCCUCUUCAGCCUCAGAGUCUGAACUGCUCUCUGCCACAGCCUCUUCCUGCUCACUAGACCUCUUCUCCCUCUGACCACUCAUCAUCAUCAGCUGGUGCCUCCCACCUCUCCUCUGCAUCCAGCCAGUCUAUGACUAGAGGUGACAUUUGGACAUCUCUUCAGGAAUCAAAAGACUUGGGUUGGCACUGUCUUCAUCUUUUAGUGCCUUGGGACAAAAAGUAAUAAUUUUGAAACAUCAAUUCAUUAUCAGUAGUGCCUUUGUGGGAGAACUCUUUUUCCUCCAUGUGGUAACAGGAUUCUAAGGGAGUGCUGUAGCUUCCAAGUGCUCAUUCACAAAAAAGGGCUAAUAAUUUUUAUCCAGUGUAUGGAAUAACAAAAAACCCAAGCUCAUUGCUGUCUUCCUUUUCGUAAUGAAAUGUGUAAAAUACGUCCUUUCCUGUGCAACAGGAAAAGGAAAAGAGAGUCGUGCUCUCACACUUUGUGUGCCUUGUUUGCUUACUAUGCUUAUAUUUAGCCUUUCCUCUAAGAAACUCAAGGUUCUUCUUCCUUGCCCCAUUUUCUCCUGUUUUUCCUCACAACAUUCCUGGUUACUGUUAGCCUCUCUUCAGAUUUAUUAACUAAUUAAUUAAAAUUUUAAGUUGCUUUUAAUUUUGAAAAACAACCCCCACUCAAGUCGUAUAUUGCUAUACACAUGGAAAUGUUGGAAGUGUUGUCAUGCUCUGCAGUUUGUGUGGUUGCCUGUUGGCGACCAUGCCAGCUGCAGCAUGAGAAACAGCCGACAGGCUGUGAAGCUCCUCUUCUAUUAAACUUGCUUGCAGUGAGGUUUAAUGGAGAGAGGGGAGGUGCUUCACACCAAUGGUUUAUCAAGCUACUGUAUGGAGUACCUCCCCUCUCCACUGAACACGCCUGUGUCAAGGUUUAAAGUAGCAGGGAAGGCCCUUUGCACCUCUUGCUUCAUUUAACAGGGGAUGGACUUGGGGCAUGCUGUGGAAGGACAGUCAAUAAUAAUAAUAAUAAUAAUAAUAAUUUUUAUUUAUACCCCACCCUCCCCAGCCAAGGCCGGGCUCAGAGCAGCUUACAAGCAAUAAUAAAAACAAGUUAAAUGAUUACAACUU